CUACGGAGGGUGCAAGCGUUAAUCGGAUUUACUGGGCGUAAAGCGUGCGUAGGCGGUUGGGUAAGUCAGAUGUGAAAGCCCCGGGCUUGACCUGGGAAUUGCAUUUGAUACUGUCCAGCUCGAGUCUGGUAGAGGGAAGUGGAAUUCCGGGUGUAGCGGUGAAAUGCGUAGAUAUCCGGAGGAACACCAGUGGCGAAGGCGACUUCCUGGACCAAGACUGACGCUGAGGUACGAAAGCGUGGGGAGCAAACAGGAUUAGAAACCCUAGUAGUCC
rnacentral:rRNA from 1 species